UACAGAGGUCUCAAGCGUUGUUCGGAUUCAUUGGGCGUAAAGGGUGCGUAGGUGGGCCUGUAAGUCAGUGGUGAAAUCUCCGGGCUUAACCCGGAAACUGCCAUUGAUACUAUAGGUCUUGAAUUUUCUGGAGGUCAGCGGAAUAUGUCAUGUAGCGGUGAAAUGCUUAGAUAUGACAUAGAACACCGAUUGCGAAGGCAGCUGACUACGGGAACAUUGACACUGAGGCACGAAAGCGUGGGGAUCAAACAGG
rnacentral:rRNA from 1 species